GUGAGGAAUAUUGCGCAAUGGAGGCAACUCUGACGCAGCCAUGCCGCGUGCAGGAAGAAGGCGCUACGCGUUGUAAACUGCUUUUAACCGGGAAGAAACCCCAGGACGUGUCCUGGGUUGACGGUACCGGAGGAAUAAGCACCGGCUAACUUCGUGCCAGCAGCCGCGGUAAUACGAAGGGUGCAAGCGUUAUCCGGAUUCAUUGGGUUUAAAGGGUGCGUAGGCGGAGCGUUAAGUCAGUGGUGAAAUCCUGCAGCUUAACUGUAGACUUGCCAUUGAUACUGGCGCUCUUGAGUGCGCUUGAAGUGGGCGGAAUGUGCCGUGUAGCGGUGAAAUGCUUAGAUAUGGCACAGAACACCAAUUGCGAAGGCAGCUCACUAAGGCGAUACUGACGCUGAGGCACGAAAGCGUGGGGAUCGAACAGGAUUAGAUACCAGGGUAGUCC
rnacentral:rRNA from 1 species